GUGCCAGCAGCCGCGGUAAGACAGAGGUUGCAAACGUUGUUCGGAAUUACUGGGCAUAAAGCGCACGUAGGCGGUUCGUUAAGUCAUGUGUGAAAUCCCUCGGCUCAACCGAGGAAUUGCGCCUGAUACUGGCGGGCUAGAGAUCGAUAGGGGUGAGUGGAACUCCAGGUGGAGCGGUGAAAUGCGUAGAUAUCUGGAGGAACACCGGUGGCGAAAGCGGCUCACUGGAUCGAUACUGACGCUGAGGUGCGAAAGCUAGGGUAGCAAACGGGAUUAGAUACCCUUGUAGUCC
rnacentral:rRNA from 1 species